CCUAUCAGCUUGUUGGUAAGGUAAUGGCUUACCAAGGCUAUGACGGGUAUCCGGCCUGAGAGGGUGAACGGACACACUGGAACUGAGACACGGUCCAGACUCCUACGGGAGGCAGCAGUAGGGAAUAUUGCUCAAUGGGGGAAACCCUGAAGCAGCAACGCCGCGUGGAGGAUGAAGGUUUUAGGAUUGUAAACUCCUUUUGUUAGAGAAGAUAAUGACGGUAUCUAACGAAUAAGCACCGGCUAACUCCGUGCCAGCAGCCGCGGUAAUACGGAGGGUGCAAGCGUUACUCGGAAUCACUGGGCGUAAAGAGCGCGUAGGCGGGAUAGUCAGUCAGGUGUGAAAUCCUAUGGCUUAACCAUAGAACUGCAUUUGAAACUACUAUUCUAGAGUGUGGGAGAGGUAGGUGGAAUUCUUGGUGUAGGGGUAAAAUCCGUAGAGAUCAAGAGG
rnacentral:rRNA from 1 species